AGCCAGGUGAUUCAGGACAUUCAGGGCCAACAGGUGACACAGGCUAUCCAGGGCUUGGGUUUCCUGGAAACCCAGGGCCAAAAGGAGAUAAAGGACUUGCAGGAGGCAGAGGGGCACCAGGUUUUGAAGGAAAGGUUGGAGAUCCAGGCCGAGCUGGAAACCUAGGACAACCAGGAGAAAAGGGUGAGCCAGGCAUGGUUAUUCCUGGAGAGCCAGGUAGACUGGGUUCACCAGGAAGUCAUGGCAUUCCUGGCUCAAAAGGUGAAGGUGGACUUCCAGGACUUCCAGGUCCACCGGGGCAUCCUGGACAUGAUGGUGCUGAUGGCCUAAGAGGAGAUCGUGGCUCACCUGGAGUUCCUGGAGAUCCAGGUUUUCCAGGGAAACCUGCUGGAUGUCUUAUUGGUCUGCCAGGUUUGCCAGGUGGCCAGGGAGCUACAGGCCCACCAGGAGGAAGAGGUUCACAAGGUUCAAAAGGAAGACUAGGUCCUCCUGGCUUGAGUAUCCCAGGAAUCCAUGGGAAGCCUGGGGAACCUGGACUAAUAGGUCUUCAGG
rnacentral:lncRNA from 1 species